GCAUGCGAUCAUACCAGCACUAAAACACUGGUCCCAUCUGAACUCUAAAGUUAAGCGUGCUUAGGUGAUAGUAGCACUAGGAUGGGUGACCUCCUGAGAAGUUCUCGUGUUGCAUCCC
rnacentral:rRNA from 1 species